rnacentral:misc_RNA from 1 species
UUUAUUUUUUUUUUUUUUAUAGCCUCAUUUUCCUGCAGGAAUAGCCAGUCCUAGCUCCUGGCGUUGCUCUUUAUCUGGCUGCAGGCUACCUGGAAAUGCUCCAAAAGCUCUUCUUGAUACUUCAAGUCCAGAAACCACAUAAUGCAGAUAUGCUGACGCAUCCUCCAUGUUUUUUCCUAGAUUGAAAGAUGUUGAAGCAAAGUUCUUUGAAGUACCUUUUUCCAGUUUCAUUGCAGAUGCUUGGUCCAACUCAGCAACUCUCAGAAACCGUUCGGUGGCAGCCUCCCAUGACAGUGCAUGCCUCUGUGCAUCAGUCAGCUCAGCAGGUUGUUCAGUCAAAGCCUUACGUGCAGCUGUCACAAAUUCAUUGCUGUUAUCAUAAGUUCGGCAAUUUGGGAACUGCUUGAAGAAGUCGUUUGAGGGGUGAUUGGCACAUAUAACAAUUUUUCCCAUCGCUAAUGCUUCAGCUGUGGUCGUGCAAACCACAUCUGUAGUGCUUGGAUUCAGGAACACUUUAUAAUCAUGGAAUACAGGAUCGGCAUGAUCACGCCCAGGGUUCACUCUCACUACCAGUUCCAAUUCUUUAGCAGCUUCCUGAACUUGACCAGAGUCUUCUCCACUGCCAUAUAAAUCUACCUCAAGCUCAGCCAACUCCUUUUGGUGAUCACGAAGAAGUUUAAGCAGCUCCUUGUAACCUUUGCUCCACACCAUUUUCCCAAUGUAGUAAGUGCCUUUAGUGAAGUCAUGCCUCCUACUUUGCAGGCCAAUUUCAAGGAACUUAGGAUUCACUCCAUGAACAUUGCAGAUAAUGGAUUUAGAAUAAUCCUGGGUGGCAGCAGAUAAUCUAAUUACCUUGUGACAAUAUAUGUCAACAACCCAGCUAUUAGCAUAUUUAAGCAUAAAUGCUUUCACUCGUCCAUGCUUCUCUCUCUUCACAUAUUCCAAAUAAUUGGUGUGUACAAUUCCUAUCACAAGGCGAAAUUUAGUUUUCCAUCUCUUCCCAUGAUGAAACCAUGUUAGAUGCUCAGGCUCUUCAAGGAUGGCAAUGUCUGCCUCUUCAUCAGGGAUGACUUCAGAGAUAUCUCCUGCAGCAAGAAUGCUUCCUUUAUCUACGGCAAACUUCCCAGGAUAAAAGCAUAUACUGAAGUGAGCAACAAAUGGAAUUCUCUCUUCAAGCCACUGGCGGACAUGUGCUUCCUGCUCUGAGGGUGAACUAAAUGUGAUGUUAUUGGGAUAUACUAGCUUUUGAUGUUUCAAGGACAACCAAGGAAUCACCAAAGUGACCUUUCUAUCUCCAUCCUUUGCAAGAUACGCAGCACGAAACAAAGGGUUGACAGCAGUUCCAGUCAACCAUGGAAGGCUUGCAGUGGUAAAAAUUGCAAUAUGCCGUUUUUUUGUCCAUUCAAUCAUCAGGUCUAAGUCCUAAAGAUGGACAACCUGUGUAUACCCUAAGAAUUCAAGUUCUAUACUUUUCAGGUGUUUGCAAAUGAGGAACUGAUGUGUUCAGCUCUAAUUUCUUCGGAAAUGAUCCUCUGUGAUCGAAGGCUUGAGCGUAAUUAGCUGGUCCAAGAUUACGUUCAGCAAGAGAGAGAAGGAAUAAUAGCGUGAAAGCUAGCGAAGGCGUAGAAAUAGAAUGAUUUGGUCGCGCCGUCUCCUUGAACUUAAGCAGAAGGGAAUAUGCUCUCGGUCCCCCCUGGCUUUCAACGGUUAAAGACAAUGAAACGGUGUCGCUCGCUUCCUUUCUCCGGCUGCUGCAGUUAAAAGUGGGCCCACCCUGCAAUCCAUCGCGUUGGAAUUGAUCAAACGGCCUUACGCACACCUUAGACGUUCUCUUAUUUGUUUGGUUUUCAUGUGGUUGGUUGCCACCGCGAACCUAGUAAAGAGCACCGGAUUCCAGCGCAGACUGGCUGUUUUGGCUAACCAAACAAGCUAAAAUUUCACAUCAAAACCGUUACAUCAGCGUCCAUAAUUUCAACAGAAGAUUUUUCCAAUUGAGCCAUAGAAGAUUUCGAAGGUGACUAUAAAUAACAAAACUUUAAUUCCCUCUCUUUCCUUUUUU